rnacentral:rRNA from 1 species
AUGGGGGCACCGCAUGUUCUUUCACUUCCAGUAACGAUAGGGCGCAUCAAGUUAGUUCACCUUCAGGCCAUCCUGGAUAGAAUUAGAGCGAGACUCGCGGGCUGGAAAGGCAAGCUCUUGCCGCUGGUAGGCCGCCGCCUACUUGUACGCUGCGUGCUCUCAGCCAUGCCGACCUUCGCGCUCACUGCGCUGCGAAUACCAAAGAAAUUCAUUAAGGAGAUCGACAAGUCGAGACGGCGCUUCCUCUGGGCGGGAGACGAAGAAAUCACGGGCGGCAAAUGCAAGGUUCGCUGGGCAUCGGUGACCAAGCCA